AAGAAAGACAGAAAGAAGGGGAAAGGAAAAGAGAGAGCGGGUGUUCCACUCAAAUGUUCAAUGAAUGUUCCUUCUUUCUAUCAUCUGUCUUUGAUCCUCUAUUUAUC
rnacentral:ribozyme from 1 species